AACGAACGCUGGCGGCGCGCUUAACACAUGCAAGUCGAACGAGAAGGCGUAGCAAUACGCUUGUACAGUGGCGAACGGGUGAGGAAUACAUGGGUAACCUACCCUCGAGUGGGGGAUAACCCGCCGAAAGGCGGGCUAAUACCGCGUACGCUUCCGAUCUUGCGGGAUUGGAAGGAAAGCUGUCCCUUGGGGAUGGCGCUCAAGGAUGGGCUCAUGUCCUAUCAGCUUGUUGGAGGGUAACGGCCUACCAAGGCAUCGACGGGUAGCUGGUCUGAGAGGACGAUCAGCCACACUGGCACUGCGACACGGGCCAGACUCCUACGGGAGGCAGCAGUGAGGAAUAUUGCGCAAUGGGCGAAAGCCUGACGCAGCGACGCCGCGUGGGGGAUGAAGGUCUUCGGAUUGUAAACCCCUUUCGGGAGGGAAGACGGCCUUAGACAACUAAGGCGGACGGUACCUCC
rnacentral:rRNA from 1 species